AGUACUAAUGUACUCAGUGGGCAAGCAUUUUCAUAAACAUUUCAUAUUUUCGUAAGAACAGUUUAUCCAAUCAUAAUUGACAUAACUUAGAAGGUUUUAAAUUGAAAGAACUUCUAAGCAUGUUAAAAUAAUUUCUUUCAUUUGUGCGCACAUGUCACACUCCCUUUCUGUUACUCGCUGUGAUCCCGGACCUUUUAGCCACCGACGGAUCCAUUUCUCCCAUUGCACUUGCCCUGAGGACGUAACUCAGACAAGUUGAAUUGACCUCGGGACGCUACCCAGGCAGGCCUUACAUGAUACAUGCUCCGGAACACAUCCAGCAAGCACCCUUAUAACGCCUCUUAGUUAGUGCCCGAUGGAGAUCAACCCACCAGGUCAACUAACAAGUGUACACAAUUCUCAAACAACGUGUUAGGCCAUAAGAGAACCUCAAUUGAUUCGUUGUGGCGAGCCUUAAACAGAGCAGAGUGCACAUAAACAUUUAUUGGAUAAACAGUUUGCAUUUCAUUGAAUAAAUAAUUUGCAUUCAUUGAAACAUUUAGAGCUUAAUAACUCAAUCAUACUUAUACAUUGAAGUAAGCCCACCUGGUUAGGCAAAGCCUGAAGAUCAUAAUCACAUAAACUCAUCUUCGGAAAGCAGUGCUAAUCCCCUUGGUCCACAAAGCCUACAAGAAAUCUAUCCUUAAUAGGUCUCAUGAAACUAAUCUUAAGUCAUAGUGUAGUACUAAACAUACUUGAUUCAUCAGCCGGGUUUCCAAAAUUUAAUAAAUAAAUAAUUGAAAACUAAAUUCUUGAGUUAAGGACACCAACAAUAUCCUUACUCGAUUUUCUCAAAUAAUUGGAUUUAUAAAUAAACCAAAUAAAUCAUGAAUGCUUUUACUCACAAAAAAAAAUACUUGAUGCAAAUCAUCUCAUGCUUAAUCAUAUAUGCACAUAAUAAUAUUAAUAUUAUUAUGCAAAUCAUUCUUUAAAUUAAUCAAACAAGUCCAAUAUUUUAAAUAAAGGCCAAGCCUAACAAUUAAAUAUAGGCAGCCCAUUUCAUUAUUAAAAAUCGCAGGGCCCAAAACUUAUUAAAAGAAAUCAGCCCAGUUGAUUGCAUAAGGGACAUCUCAUGCUAUUAAUAAUUAAAUCGGGCUCAAUCAAAAAUAAUCUCAGCCCAACUCCUUUACAAAUUUCGGCCCAGCUCUCUAAGGCCCAAACUUGCCCUAAAUCCCUUCUUCCUUUUUCUUCAACCACAUCUGCCGCUCACACACACACAUCUCGUCUCUCCCUUUCUCUCCUCGGUUCAGGCAGUCCGCUCCCUUCUCCCUCAGAAUCUGCCGCCGAUCAGAUCGUCGGAGGAGCAGCGGCGAGGAGCCGCCGCCACCACCUUUCCCUCUCCUCAGACACUGAGCCCCUAUAACACCCCCACCAUUCCCUCUGCUCUCUUUUCUCCCUCAUCUCCGGCAACUCAAAGGACGUUCCACACACACGCCUAAACGGUGAAGCGGCGUCGAGAAUCGCCCUCCCUCCUUGGCGACGGCGAAGCGCCGCCGCCUCCCUCGAUCCCUCUCUCCUUCCUGGUUUUUGGCGUCUACAACUAAGGACCGCCGCCAAACUCUCCAGACCUCAAAAUCGACUCCCUCCUCUCGAAUCCGGCAACCACAGAACAGCCAUGGCCGCCGUCGUUCUCUCUCUCCCCUCCACUCAAAAUCGGUCGACAGCAGCGAGGGCCGCCACUGACCACCGCGCCCUGCCUCCCUCUGCUUCCUCAACUCAACAGCAACGACACCCUCCCCAUUCGCUCAAGACCGAAGAUUAAAACAGGGCUUCAAGACUAAAUCUUUUCUUUUCCUUUUAUUAAAGAAAAACAUGUUUCAUAUGUAGUAUGUAAACACAGAUGGUAUGCACAUGUAUAUGAAUGCCAUUUGUUCGAAAGUCUUGGUUCAAUUUAUAUGUAAAAGUAAGUGACAUGCAUACACAAAAAUAGGAAUUGUCGUCUGCUGCACGUUAGAGACUUGGAUACUGGAGGAAAUUGCUGAAACUGAAUUUGGGGUGCUAACCGUGAAUGGAGGUAAAAUGGGCAGAGUGGUUUGAAGAUGAAGUCUUUAGAGCUUUCAGUUUGUGGAGUCUGAAACGUGUGGUACAGCUGAACUUCUGUGGGUGGAGCUCUGCACUUAGUUCCUUGGUAUGUUGGAAUAAGAGAGUAAAUUGAAAGAGAAAUGAGAUAAGGUCUUACUAAGUGGAAGGGAAUGGGUCUUUUGUUGGAGUAUAAUGACUUCGCAGAGAAGUUUGGGUAGAUUUGAUUGUUGCUUUAGGCAUGGCUAAAGCUUGACUUUUGGAGUUGAUUGGAUUGGCAAGGGAUGGUGUAGGGUGGCUGGUAGGGAGGUAGAGUAUGGAUGUGGAUUUGACAAUCAUAUAGGGAUGAAAUAGCGAAUUUGUAAAAUUUCAUCGGGGUUCGUUAAUUAAAUAGCUCAUGUAUGCUCGUGUAAAUGCUCGAUGCUCAAUUUAAAUAAAUAUGCAAUGCAUAAGAAUUUAAAUAACUAAAUUUACAAAUACUUUUUGUAAAUCAUCUUUGUUGGAAUUAAAAUAAAUUCGUUUCUUUUAUCCGGCGUGAAUCGUCUUCAAUUCUAAGUUCAAAAUUACUCUAAACUUAGCUAGGGAAAAACGGGGUAUUACAUCCCUCCCUCCUUAUAAAAAUUUCGUCCUCGAAAUUGCAUAUGUGGGUAAUCUAGUUCGAGAUAUACUAGUCAUUUGUUUCAUUUGCUUCUUAUGUGGUCUUUUCCAUCAUGUGAUGGUUCCACUACAUGACGAGAACAAUAUCAUUGUUCCGUAAAACUUGAACCUUGCAAUCUAGUCACUAAACUGAUUUCUCUUCAUAACUUAAGCCUUGAGCUUGGACUAUCUCAUCUUUCUUAAUCACAUACUUUCUUAACUGCGAGACAUAAUACUUAGUGUAUACAUCCACAAUCAUCCACUAACCAUUAGUGCAUUAUUCCUGACUUUCGUGAAUCCUUUCGUUUUUCUUAUUCUUGAGGCGAGACACAUUUUCUCACCAAUAUCCAUUUUCAUUUCGUGCUUUCAUAAUCCUUUCUCGCAAUUCACACUUAACUAUUGAUGCAACUACACAGCUUGAUAUUAUCUCCGGAUGGUGAACAAUUACUAAACUGAAUAAGGCAAUCACCAAUCGGUACUUCAUAUAUAGUGGCGAGACAUCUUAUCUUAAUUUCCAAUUGAUGGUACCAUCAUAAUUCUUCACUAAUUCGAGUCGUCUCUGUUGUCUUACAUUCAAAUCUCUUUGCUCGAACAAGCACUUCAAAUUCUUGUCAUCUACAAGGACCUCACACUUAACUCCGUAGAGAUAGUGUCUCCAAAUUUCCAACACGUGCACAACCACAACGAGUUCUAAGUCAUAAGUCAGGUAAUUCAACUUUGGGGCUAAUGAGACAUAGUGCUCAAGUUCUCUGAAGUUUAAAACAAAUAUUUGCUUCCUUUGAACAUUCCUAUUGAUGGAGCUUUUGACACUUUAGCCGAAACAAUCACCCUUCUAGCGUGAGAUUGUUGGCUCUGAGGCUGGGUUGGAUCUUAAGUCUUAUUCUAAAGUCCUUUUUCUAUUCUCGAAGUUUCUGUUGUUUUCUUCAUUCUAUUUUCUUUCCUUCACCACAUCUUGAGGUGGUGUAUAUCCAAAUUGUGUCGGAGUUUUCCCAUUCUCCCUUGGUAGCAGUGAUUCGAUGGUGAGAGUCUUGCUCGUUGGUUGCUCAUACGUAAUAUUUCUUUGGCUUGAUAGGGGAAUUGAAUAUCUCAUGACGUCAUUCGUUUGCGAACUCCUUCACGCGUUUCUCAUAAGUGUCUACCAUAUUUGGCCUGACAUUUUGUUGAAAACUCUAUCAUACUAGUUAUCUGCCCCGGUUCUCCACUUGGGAUUCCAGAAGUUGCUUUGUUUCUACCGACUGACGGUCAAAAGACAGGUUGGUGCUUAGUGUAUCUUUCUAACUAUGAGAAUAUCACCUUCUAGUACUUCGAGAACUAACAGCAACUAAGUAUUCUAGUCAUUGUUGUGCUUAUCGUGAUAAAGAUCUUAUUGUGACAACUACAUAGUGUGAGUCUAUACAUUGGGAUGACGCUCUACUCAAGGUCAAAAUCCUAAUUGACAAUCACCGAGAUCUUAGUUAUGUGGGCUGGCCAGACCCAGCACAACAAAUCACUCAGUCAAAUGGGAGCUUCGCGCCCCCCAAUCAUGUCAACUUCUUGUCUCUUAUAAAGUUCUAAGUCAACUUCGAACUUAAAGCACUUACUUCUAAGUACUUCAAUCAUAAAUCUUUGGUAUCAUAUAAGUCCAUUCUAUGUCGUUCUAGCGAUGCUAUCACGACUAACAUCAUAAUCAUAUGCAAGAUAAGUUCUUAUGCAAGAAACUUGAUUCUACCGCUAUUGAAAUAGCUCAAGUGAAUCCUUAGUCUUAAGGCAGUGCCUCUAUGUUGUAACAUCUCUAUGUUAAACAUUUCUAUGUUACUAGUCUUUACUUAAACCGAUCAAGCGGUGCUAUCACGACUAACAUUCUCAAUGCAUUCUUGGGUGGUACUCAAACGGUUUGUAAGAGGACCCAUCAUUCUAAUCGUAUAGGCAGCUAGCCUAAAACGACAACAUAAAGCUUUCUCAUUCAUUCAUAUAUACAUACAUACAUACAUACUUCUGUAUCUUUUGAAAUCUUAACAUAUAUGGACAUUUAAAGUCCAUUUCAUGAAAACUUUGCUUGUGCCGGAAAGAUUCAAGGAAUCUAACUCGACCAUACAUACAUUGAUUCGUUAAGGGCUCGGGUAGUCCCAAACACGAAAUAACAUUCAUUGAGUCGUAUGGUCGGGUAGUCCAAACACGACACUAUCGUUAAGGGUUCAAGUAGUCCCUAACACGAUACUGAGCUGGGUUAUAUGAGUCGGAGACCCAAGAUAACAAUAUGAAAGCGAUUAUAACUUAUAACAUAUGGAAAGCGAUAAGCAAUUCACAUAGCAUCAUAAACAUAAGGCGCACAUUUUCUUGAAAACUUUCAUAACAUCUGAAAUACAUAUAUGUAUAAUUUUGAAACUAUUAUCGUACCUUAGUUGCGGCAGUGUGACGGCGAGCUGAGGGCUACUGACAUUCUUAGAAGUCUAGAGAUACUAUUCUAGACUCGACAUCAAAAAAACUUAUGGUUAUCAGAGACAUGAAAGAAAACUUAUGCUCUGAUACCAUUCUGCCACACCCCAAUUCUUGAAUGAAUAAAUAUAAUCGAGGUGUAACUAAUUCAUAGAAAUAAACAACGAACAACCUUGUUAAAACCCGAAUAAUAAGAUUACGAGUCGGGCUAGGCCCCUUUGGAUCACAAGUUUUGUUUCAUGUUUCUGACAACCGACGUUCAUUAACAUAAAACUAGAAAUUUUAAAUUGAAGCUCAACAUGAAGUCAUCUUAAGUUGAGAAAACAAGAGAUGUAUAAGAGUUAUUACUACAGCGGAAGUCUAUAUAGAAAUUGAACCCUAGCCUCCAAAUCGCCGACUCUCCUGCUUGAUUCCCAGCGACCGCAGCUCCUUCCAUGGCCGCCGCCCUCAACCACUCUCACCCCGACCUAUGCUCUUCCUCUGACUCCGGCGACUCAGGGCAGCGACGACGAGGCCGCCGCCGCCUGAAGCCCUAGGCCUAACCAACAGAACACACACACCAUACCAAGGCUCCCUCCGUUCUCAGAUCCAGAGCAACGGCAGCAAAUCCGCCGCCUUGGAUCCCCCCCUUUUUUACUCUUCGCCCUUGGCCGAACAGCAGCGGCGAGUUGCCGCCGUGCUGCGCUCUACCUUAUUCCAUCUAUCGACUCUCACAGCCAACAAUCACACCAAAAGGACUCGACACAGCAAGGUUCGAAUCAGGGGAAAACAAAGCUUCAAGACUUUCUAAAAAUUGUUUCUUCAUUUGUACAAAUCAUAGAUUUUGCUCAUAUAGAUAUGCAUAUAUACACCAUCUUUCAAACUGAAAUCUUUACUAAACUGUAAAUACGAAUGUAUAUAUAGAUGAAUGGAUGAAUGAGUUGGUUUCUUUUCUUGAAAAGCUUUAUAAUUGAAUUGGUUUGAUACAAUCGAAUAAGAGAGUGUAUGAAGGGAUAGAUCUUGUUAUGAUAAAAAGAAUGAACCUUUGGGACUAUAUGUUGAGGUGUGUGGCUGUUGUCAUAGUGCUUCAUGUUGUUCUUGGCUGAACUUGAGCUCUUUGAAGGAGUAAUUAGUAAAGGUUGGUGACUUGUGAGUUAUUGGCGUAGGAGAAGAGUGGGAACAUGACUUCAAUAUUAACUUAAAUUUUGACAGGAGGCGUGUUGGGGAAUUUGAUUGACUCCAGCAUGGUUUAAAGCUGGAAUGAGAGUAAGUAUAGGGUGGCUUGUAGGAAGCAGGGUAUGGGUGUAGUAAUAGGUAUUGAUGGUAAGUGAUGAAAUGACAUGAUGUGAUAAUUAAAACAUCUGCGAUGAAUUGUCGAACUGAAAUAAUUCUUUAGGGUUUGCUAAAUAAAUAGCUCGUGUAAAUGUUCAAAUGCUCAAUUUAAAUAAAUAUGCAAUGCAUAAGAAUUUAAAUAACUAAAUUUACAAAUAUUUUUUUGUAAAUCAUUUUGGUUGGAAUUAAAAUAAACUCGUUUUUAUUCUCCAGCGUGAAUCGUCUCAUACUUCUAAGUUCAAAAUUUACUCUAAAUUUUGCUAGGGAAAAGCGGGGUGUUACAUAUAGUUUCAAAUAUAAUUUAUCACAUGAUAAGAUUUAGCCUAUUAGGCUAUCCAUAAAAUUAAAAAAUAAUAAUAAUAAUAAUAAUAAUAAUAAUAAUAAUAAUAAUAAUAAUUACAAGAAAUAAAUAAGAAUACUUACAAAAUGGAAGCUUUUAUUGCGAUACACCACUUCAAGCACAAAUAUUUUACAAUGAAGAAAACAAAGAGAAAGGAAGAACUACGGGAGAAAGAGAAUGCCCUUCUCUUCAUCCAUACACAAUUAUUUAUAGUACUAAAUGUUUUACAAAAGUCAAACUAAAAUUUUUUACAUCAAUAGAAAAUAAAAAUUUUCUAAAGGUAUUAUCAUACCUUAUCUAGACUAUCUAAAGUCUAAUGGUAUUAUCAUGCCUUAUAGACUAUCUAAAGGUAUUAUCAUGCCUUUCUCGAUCAAUAUCUUCAAAUUUUUCUUCCACAAGCAAUAUUAUUGCUCUCUUAAACUUGCUCAUCAUAUCUUCUGAUUAGAAGCAGAAGAAGAUUCUCCUCUUUUGAAAUUUUCAAUGAGGACAUCUCUGAUAGCUCCAAAAAAAUGAUCCUUGUUGAAACCGAAUAGAAGGUAACAAUCGAGGUGCAACUAAAUCAUGAAAAUAACACAAGGAAAAAUCCUUGUUGAAACCGAAUAGAAGGUAACAAGUCGGGCUAGGCCCCUUUGGAUCACAAGUUUUGUUUCAUGCUUCUGAUAACCAGUAUUCAUUAGCAUAAAACUAGGAGUUAAGUGUUUAGGCUCAAUCAGAGAUGUCAUUCUAAAUUUGAUAUGAAAGUCUUAAGUUGAGAAAACAAAAGACAAGAUAUUAUUUACUGCUACAACGGAAGUCUUAAAAGGAAGUUGAACCCUAGCCUCAGCUCAGUCCCGUCAGCACCAGCCAGCCAACCUGAAAACAUUUGAAAGUAUUUUUGGGCUAAGUACUAAUGUACUCAGUGGGCAUGCAUUUUCUGAAACAUUUCAUAUUUUCGUAAAGACAGUUUAUCCAAUCAUAAAUGACAUAACUUAGAAGGUUUUAAAAUUGAAAGAACUUCUAAGCAUGUUAAAAUAAUUUCUUUCAUUUGUGCGCACAUGUCACACUCCCUUUCCGUUACUCGCUGUGAUCCCGGACCUUUUAGCCACCGACGGAUCCAUUACUCCCGCUUGCUUGAACUGAGGGCGUAACCCAGCCAAGUUCCCAUUUGGGACCCAAUGCUCCGGAACACAUCCCGUCGAGCACCCUUAUAACGC
rnacentral:lncRNA from 1 species